rnacentral:rRNA from 1 species
UGGGGAAUUUUGGACAAUGGGGGAAACCCUGAUCCAGCCAUCCCGCGUGUGCGAUGAAGGCCUUCGGGUUGUAAAGCACUUUUGGCAGGAAAGAAACGUCGCGGGUUAAUACCCCGCGAAACUGACGGUACCUGCAGAAUAAGCACCGGCUAACUACGUGCCAGCAGCCGCGGUAAUACGUAGGGUGCAAGCGUUAAUCGGAAUUACUGGGCGUAAAGCGUGCGCAGGCGGUUCGGAAAGAAAGAUGUGAAAUCCCAGAGCUUAACUUUGGAACUGCAUUUUUAACUACCGGGCUAGAGUGUGUCAGAGGGAGGUGGAAUUCCGCGUGUAGCAGUGAAAUGCGUAGAUAUGCGGAGGAACACCGAUGGCGAAGGCAGCCUCCUGGGAUAACACUGACGCUCAUGCACGAAAGCGUGGGGAGCAAACAGGAUUAGAUACCCUGGUAGUCCACGCCCUAAACGAUGUCAACUAGCUGUUGGGGCCUUCGGGCCUUGGUAGCGCAGCUAACGCGUGAAGUUGACCGCCUGGGGGAGUACGGUCGCAAGAUUAAAACUCAAAUGAAUUGACGGGG